rnacentral:rRNA from 1 species
UAGUCCUACGGGACGCAGCAGUGGGGAAUAUUGCACAAUGGGGGAAACCCUGAUGCAGCGACGCCGCGUGAGUGAAGAAGUAUCUCGGUACGUAAAGCUCUAUCAGCAGGGAAGAAAAAAAGUCUUUGGCUUUGGACGGUACCUGACUAAGAAGCCCCGGCUAACUACGUGCCAGCAGCCGCGGUAAUACGUAGGGGGCAAGCGUUAUCCGGAUUUACUGGGUGUAAAGGGUGCGCAGGCGGCUCUGCAAGUCAGGCGUGAAAGCUAGGGGCUCAACCCCUAAACUGCGCUUGAAACUGUG